AAUAGCGAGGAGUUAUUUUGAUAAUUUUAAGGGGCACAUGGAAAAUGAUGGGGCGUCAAAAGAACAACUCUAAAUAAAAAUGAAAUGGGCCAAGUUAGACAUGACGUGAAGAAUUGGUUUCUGUCUUCAAUUGCUUAAAAAAUACUUUAAAUAGCAGAGUAUCAUGCUUAACCUACUGUCAACCAAAUUCAGCAACUAUCAAAGGUUGUAGAGAAUCUUCUCCUUUUCUCUACGCUUCACUAUCAUAAUAAUUUUCCGAUUCAAUCCUUUCAUGUCAUCCAAAGCAGGAGGAGAAAGAUGAUCAGCUGAUUUCAGAGAUGAGUUGGAGAGAAGCGCUUCCAGAGGCUCCUGACCUCGCAGGAGGAUUUGUAGUUCUAAAUUCAAGGAAUGGAAGUGAGGAAGUCAAGGAUAUUGUUGAAAAUGCUACAUGUUUGUUUGACAUGACAGACUUGUACAUUGUCGAUGAUCCUGUUGGAAUCAAAUCUCGAAUACGAGAUAUGAUUCAACGGCUAAACAUCCAACAAUCAAAUGAUAUCAUGCCACUAGGUUUGUGGGGCAUGGGCGGAAUUGGUAAAACCACAAUCGCGAAAGCGAUUAAUGAUAAACAGAUGAAAGUGAAUGAAUUGAGCUUUUUAGUUGGCAUGCAUAGUACAAUUGUCGCUAGCUCAAAAAUAUUCCUAAAGAUCAAGUACAACAAAAAUGAUAGGAACAAACUUGGAAUGCAUGAUUUGAUUUGUUACGAGACAUGGGAACAAACUUUUGGUGAUUUCUCUAUGUCCUCAGUUCAUUCUCCAUUCAAAAUGAAACUAUGAACAUUUCAUCCACAAUUUGUCUCAGUUGCUCAAGUAUCAAAUAUUGGAAUCAAUUGCAACUACAUUACAUACUCCUACAUUUAAUUCAAUGUUAUAGUCAAGUGCAUGUUUACAGGAUGAGGUCAUAUGAAAAUGUUUUCAACCACAAAAUGGAUGAUGAAAAGUUCAAACUCCCGGUUGGUUUUCGAUUCCAUUCGACCGAUGAAGAGCUCAUAAAUCAAUACCUUGUCAAGAAGGUUAAUGACAAUAGCUUCUUUGCUAUAGCUAUCACAGAGAUUGAUAUGAAUAAGUGUGAACCAUGUGAUUUGGCCGAGUUAGCUAAAAUGGGAGAAAUAGAAAAUACCCAACUGGUCAAAGGACAAACAGGGCCACUAAUGCUAGCUACUGGAAAGCCACUGGCAAAGACAAAGAGAUUAUCAAGGGAAAUGAAUUAAUUUGGAUGUAGAAAACACUGGUUUUCUACAAAGGAAGAGCUCCAAGAGGUGAAAAAACCAAUUGGGUCAUGCAUACAGACUGGAGGGAAGUAACACAGUUUCUGAGCAGAAUCUCUCCAAACAAGUAACAGUUUAUGAGCAGAAUCUCUCCAAACAAGGAACGAAUAUGGAUGUCAACGGGUUUGGUGCUUAUUCCCUAAUGAUAGUUAUCCAGAUUGGAUAACCUUUAGUUCUAAAGGUUCUUCUGUAACUUUUGAAGUACCUCAAGUGGUGGAGUAUAACUUGAAGGCAAUGAUGUGCAUUGUCUAUACUUCAACCUCAAAUAACAUAACAUCAGACGGCCUCAGAAAUAUGUUAGCGAAAAUUACAUAAAACUACCAUUCAACUUUUUAAUAGAGGCAUUAAUCUCCUUAGAAGAUGAGGAGGGGACGAGAGUAGUAUCAUGUAUACAAUCCGGUAACAAAGUAGACGUUGCUGUUUUUGAGAAUGGUUUUAUCCUAAAGAAGGUAGCAGUUUAUCCUGUAAAUGAUACCAGAUCUGAGGAGUUGCAUUCCUUUUAAUGUCAGAGCGGAAGAGGUAAGAAAUCAAUGGUGUUAGCCGUGAAAGCUUCAUGUCUGGUGACCAUUCAAUGCAAAAAGUUGAAGCUUUUUCUGUUUUUCGUGAAGAGACACCAUAUCUUCUUCCAUUCAACCAAUGCUAGUAAGGGUUUAUCGACAACUCUUUGUUAUAUAUCAAUUAGUUAUAUUAUAGAUAAAUGGAAGUUAUAUUGUAAUACAAAAUAUGUAUCAAAGUUAUUAGAGUAACUAAUAAGAUUGUCCAAGGUUACCUAUAUGUAUCAAGUCCUGAAUCGAUUAUGUAUCUAGUAAGAAUUAGAGAAAAUAACCAUUUUGCUCCGACCAUGUGAGAGACAUUGUCACUAUGGUUCCUCAAUGUAUUGAAAUUACAAAUAUAUUUAGUUGUAACUAUUGUGAC